rnacentral:rRNA from 1 species
UACAGAGGUCUCAAGCGUUGUUCGGAUUCAUUGGGCGUAAAGAGCUCGUAGGCGGCUGUUCAAGUCGAACGUGAAAACUCGGAGCUCAACUCCGAGCCUGCGUUCGAUACUGGACGGCUAGAGUCUGGUAGGGGGAUCUGGAAUUCCUGGUGCAGCGGUGGAAUGCGCAGAUAUCAGGAGGAACACCGGUGGCGAAGGCGGGAUCCUGGGCCAGUACUGACGCUGAGGAGCGAAAGCGUGGGGAGCAAACAGG